GGGGAAUAUUGGGCAAUGGGCGAAAGCCUGACGCAGCAACGCCGCGUGAGGGAAGAAGGUUUUCGGAUUGUAAACCUCUGUCGCAGAUGACGAAGAAAGUGACGGUAAUCUGUGAGGAAGCCCCGGCUAACUACGUGCCAGCAGCCGCGGUAAUACGUAGGGGGCGAGCGUUGUCCGGAAUUACUGGGCGUAAAGGGUGCGCAGGCGGUUCUUUAAGUUGGAUGUGAAAUACCCGGGCUUAACUCGGGGGGUGCAAUCAAAACUGGGGAACUAGAGUUCAGGAGAGGGAAGCGGAAUUCCUAGUGUAGCGGUGAAAUGCGUAGAUAUUAGGAGGAACAUCAGUGGCGAAGGCGGUUCUCUGGACAUUUCCUGACGCUGAGAAGCGAAAGCGUGGGGAGCAAACA
rnacentral:rRNA from 1 species